UCGAGAGGCUUUGUCAAUGGGGGAAACCCUGAACAAGCGACGCCGCGUGAGGGAUGAAGGCCUUUGGGUUGUAAACCUCUGUUGCUCGGGAAGAAACGCCGGUGGGCGAAUAGUCCGCCGGCUUGACGGUACCGAGUGAGGAAGCUCCGGCUAACUCCGUGCCAGCAGCCGCGGUAAUACGGGGGGAGCAAGCGUUGUUCGGAAUCACUGGGCGUAAAGGGCGCGUAGGCGGUCAGGUAAGUGAGAUGUGAAAGGCUCCGGCUCACCCGGAGACAUGCAUCUCAUACUGCUUGGCUCGAGUACAGGAGAGGAAACGAGAAUUCCAGGUGUAGCGGUGAAAUGCGUAGAUAUCUGGAGGAAUACCGGUGGCGAAGGCGCGUUUCUGGCCUGAUACUGACGCUGAUGCGCGAUAGCUAGGGGAGCAAACGGGAUUAGAUACCCCCGUAGUCC
rnacentral:rRNA from 1 species